AGUGAACGCUGGCGGUAGGCCUAACACAUGCAAGUCGAACGGCAGCACAGUAAGAGCUUGCUCUUACGGGUGGCGAGUGGCGGACGGGUGAGGAUUACAUCGGAAUCUACUUUUUCGUGGGGGAUAACGUAGGGAAACUUACGCUAAUACCGCAUACGACCUACGGGUGAAAGCAGGGGAUCUUCGGACCUUGCGCGAUUGAAUGAGCCGAUGUCGGAUUAGCUAGUUGGCGGGGUAAAGGCCCACCAAGGCGACGAUCCGUAGCUGGUCUGAGAGGAUGAUCAGCCACACUGGAACUGAGACACGGUCCCGACUCCUACGGGAGGCCGCAGUGGGGAAUAUUGGACAAUGGGCGCAAGCCUGAUCCAGCCAUACCGCGUGAGUGAAGAAGGCCUUCGGGUUGUAAAGCCCUUUUGUUGGGAAAGAAAAGCAGCAGGUUAAUACCCCGCUGUUCUGACGGUACCCAAAGAAUAAGCACCGGCUAACUUCGUG
rnacentral:rRNA from 1 species